UGCCCAGCUACUCCUAUCGCUACCUCCUCGCGGUACUGGCCGGGGUACGAGUAACCUUAGGGAAGAUCGAGUAACCAACCCCCGGUGGGAACUUUGGUCGUAUGCUGACAGGGAAGG
rnacentral:ribozyme from 1 species